rnacentral:lncRNA from 1 species
ACAGGCCUCCCCCGCACAGUCUUCACUCAGACAGGCUCCACUUACCCUACCCAGGGCUGGCACUUAUCGCAGGCCCCACCCCAGGGCUGUCCGUCACUCACAGUAGGCUCCACCCCCAGGGCGAUCACUCAUUGCAAGCCUAGGGACAGGGCUCGUGGUAAGUAAAGUCACUCACAGUAGGCCCUCUCCAGGAAAAGCCCCCCAGCGAUGGCGUAGAACACGGCCACGCAGCCGAUGUGGCGCCGGUAGUUCUCAAUGAAGCGCUUGAACUGUUGCACCGUCUGGUGGAGACGGCUGCGUUGGAACUUCUCUCGGUGCGCCUCAGUGAACAGCAAGGGCUGGAAUGACGUUACCCUGGGAGACAGGAAGCCUUAGCCUUUGGCACCCACCAUCGGACCCAACGCUAGUGGGGCCCCACUUCACGGAGGUGAGCCGCCCAGAAGUGAGGGAAGCCCACUGCUUCCGAGAAAGAAACCUAGUUACCCUUGUGGAAGAAGGGUUCAGACCUCACCGCAUCAGGCUAUAUUGCAUUGCAUAAGCAAGCUGGCAGUGGAGGGAUGGCUUGGAGUGGUCAUUUCUUCCCAGGGGAUGCACUCCAUCUACCUGUGUUCAUUCACACUCAGUCCCUCUCCUUCCAGUCUGUAGCUCCCAACUCCCACCCGGCACCCAUAUUCAGCCUUUACUAGAGACUCAAAGGACACCUCUUCCAUGAAGGCAUCUCUGACCUCCCUGGCAGAGGUUUAUUGCGAGAUCAACAAAAGUGGUUGUGUUGAAAAUGUUCUGAAAGCUGAAAUCACCGUGCAGAUAUGAGACACUGACAGCCACCCCCAGGAUAUAUCAGCACCCUUCGUGUCUCAGCACAGGGAGUUCCCAUAGCCCCGAAGGAUCCUGAAUGAGUGGAGAUGCCCAGUCCUGCCUGGACUCUGGGAAGGAGUCACCCAGCUGAGGGUCCCUCUGUUCUUGUACAUAUUCAAAUUCAACUUGUUUGUCCUCAAAUGACUUUAAAUCAUG